CAUCGGCAGCUGCAACCUUUCUCUUUGCACGUCUUUAUGUGCUGAUAUUUCUCCUAUAAAAGCCGCUACUCUACCUGCCAUCCUGAGUUACCUUUGUCGCGCAGUAGUUUUGGAUUGCACGAUCUGCCUUGUUGGCUUGAUCUUACGGUGCUGUCAAAAAUCGCUCCGUUCGUUUCUCUGCACGUUAUUCUUUCGUGCUUCAGUGGAUGUCAGGCGGGCCUCCUUUCUCCACGGGCCUAUUUUACAGCUACACUGGGAAGAAAUCUUAGUGUCUCUUAUUUUUUGUGCGCAGUCAAAGCGGGUGAAAACCUAGCUGCUAAUCCCCUCCCGUCCUCGAUCCCCACACCCCAUGCCUCGUCUUUCCUCCUCUUGACCGCCGCCACGCCCCUUCUCCUCCUUCUCCUCUACCCAGCGCUGGCUCUCCUCCUCUUCUUCGAUCAGAUCCUGUCGGAUCCUCUCCCGCGUGCCAGCUUCUCCUCGAGAGAAGGGUCACAUGGUUCAGCCCCGGUGAAGUUGGUCUUGGGUACGCUGCUGCUGGAGGAAAGGCGGUCCGCCGGCAUUCGUCUCUCCUAACCUGGCGUUUCUCCCCCGGGCGCCCAAGGUGAAUCCACGACCUAGGACAUGGUAUGUAGGUGCCGUGCUGUUCUUCCUCCCCUUCGAUUGUUCCAUGGCCACCAGCAGCAACAGGAGGAAAGUCAAGCCCCGAUGUUGACCAGAUUCGUGCCCCUGUAUUUAGUUUAUCUGGUUUGUUCUUCUGGAUGUAUAGCUUUCUUUCACAGCUUGGUUGAAGAGCACAUUCGAUGUGCCCGCCAUGACUGCUUGUUCUGCUCGUUGUUUCCUUCGAUUGUUGUCAUGGCCCUCGGUCCUUCGGUUGCUCCGAUCUACGAGGUUGCUGCUGGUUUUUGGGUUCUUGGCUGCGUUUCAUCUAUACCCACCGUGCUGUGUGAUGACGUCGAUGAAGUCAUAUUGUAUAUAAUGCAUGGCGGUAGCAUACCCUAGCGCGGCUUGGGCAAGGGCACAACUGGUGACGUCCGCGGGUGGGUGGACAAUGGAGGCUGUGGACCAUCAGCAGAAAGGUUGACCAAAACUGUUGGCACAUAUUGAUCAUCAUCGGGAGGUCGACUAAUAAUCACAUUGAGCUAUUGGAGAAAUACAAAGAUAUUGAUAGAUUACAAUACAAAUGGUCUUUAAAGUCCAGUUGGAAGCUCCUCUCUGUAAUUGAUGAAGGCAAGCUUUACUACUUCCAGGGAGUAAGAGAUCAAAGUACAGCAGCAUUUAAAGAAGUGGCAAUAAUUAGCCAUCCCCGUGCUGGUGAAUACGCAUUUGGAUUUAUAACAUCGAGCAUGAUUCUUCAGCUCUCUACGGAAAUAAUUGUUUCUGGAGGAAUGACCAUGCCGCAGGUGAUUACAGUGCUAGGACCUGCCACUGAUAAGAACCAGGGCACCCGUUGAAACAGAAUGAUGACUGUGUGAGACUUAAAAUAGAGCCAGCACAUCAGGUAUUGGCAUCUCACCUUUGUAGAUGUUUACAGCUACUAAAGGAACAUCAAAGUCGUGGAUAAUGCUACAUCCGAUGUACAAUUUGUAGAUUAGAAGCUGGAACAUAAGGACUGUGUGAUGGAGUAAGCACUGGUUGUAUAUAUUAGGCGGGAGGGAUAUUAAAGUGCCGUGCUCACACCGCACUUAGGUGGCUUACUAAGAUUACUGAAAAUGGUUUGUGGUUCUUGUGUGCUCACAGAACGACAGCUUAAUUACUGAUGUUAGGCCAUUACAAUGCAACUUCAACUGAGACCGGUUAAAUUUUUUCAAGUUUUUAUUGAUGCUAUCGCA